CGCAGAGGGUUCUGAUAACAAAGAACCUAGAUAGCCGCAUCGGUAUUAUAGGAUGUAGUCGGUGAGCCGGAAUGCCUGCAUCGUAAGCCUAUAAGUAAAUCCCACAG
rnacentral:ncRNA from 1 species